UCGAUGAGAAAGUGAAUGAAGUGUGACC
rnacentral:sRNA from 1 species